rnacentral:lncRNA from 1 species
AUGAUUGUUAAUAACGGAAAACAUCAAACGACAAUGAAAGUGAGCCUGCUGAUAAAGCACGGUGGCUUCUGUGAAAUCAGAAAACGGAUUCUCUCCAAAGCACAACAGGACAACUUGAGUCAGGAGGAGCUGGCAGAUGCCUCCGGAAUGAAGCCCACGUGUCGUCCGAGUGGGGAUUCGAGGCAGCAGCUGGGAUCCAGGCUGGGGGCCCGAGCAUGUUGGCUGGUGGGUCUGGGCAGCUCUGUUGUCAGUCCUUUGCCCAGCCUGGGCCCAGGUUUGUACGCCCUGAGGUCUUAGAAUUUAGGGGAUCUCUUUAGGGAAAGGAACACAAAACUGUGAAUAAAAACUCAGCAAACAGUGGAUACUUAUUUAUUUAGCAGGGGAUUGUGGGAGAGGAGCCCUGGGCUUUGCA